AACGAACGCUGGCGGCAGGCUUAACACAUGCAAGUCGAGCGCCCCGCAAGGGGAGCGGCAGACGGGUGAGUAACGCGUGGGAAUCUACCCAUCUCUACGGAAUAACGCAUGGAAACGUGUGCUAAUACCGUAUACGUCCUUCGGGAGCAAGAUUUAUCGGAGAUGGAUGAGCCGGCGUUGGAUUAGCUAGUUGGUGGGGUAAAGGCCUACCAAGGCGACGAUCCAUAGCUGGUCUGAGAGGAUGAUCAGCCACACUGGGACUGAGACACGGCCCAGACUCCUACGGGAGGCAGCAGUGGGGAAUAUUGGACAAUGGGCGCAAGCCUGAUCCAGCCAUGCCGCGUGAGUGAUGAAGGCCCUAGGGUUGUAAAGCUCUUUCACCGGUGAAGAUAAUGACGGUAACCGGAGAAGAAGCCCCGGCUAACUUCGUGCCAGCCGCCGCAGUAAAAC
rnacentral:rRNA from 1 species